rnacentral:rRNA from 1 species
UACGGGGGGAGCAAGCGUUGUUCGGAUUUACUGGGCGUAAAGGGCGCGUAGGCGGUCGUGACAAGUCACUUGUGAAAUCUCCGGGCUUAACUCGGAACGGUCAAGUGAUACUGUCGGACUAGAGUACAGAAGGGGCAACUGGAAUUCUCGGUGUAGCGGUGAAAUGCGUAGAUAUCGAGAGGAACACCUGCGGCGAAGGCGGGCUGCUGGGCUGAUACUGACGCUUAGGCGCGAAAGCCAGGGGAGCGAACGGG